CGCACUCCCCUUCCCGCACUGCACUGUUGUUUUGCUUUGUGGUCACGAAGCUCAAAUCUGGAAUUUUUCAGCUUCUGUUUGAGUUGAGGAGGCGGAUGAUCAACUGACUGGCCUUUCGUCAUUUGUUGUGCCAGUGAGCACUAUUUCAAAGAGCUUUCAUUACCACUUGCCCAAGUGAGGAAUAUUUUAGUGCCUGAGGAUGUCGCAGGCAGUCGUAAUAAUGCGGAAAACGGUGGAACAGCUACAGGCGGAAGUGAGCAUAAACAGGAUCAAGAUCUCCGAGGCAUCAAGGGACCUGAUGCAGUACUGCCAUGACCAUCAAGCAGAGGACGGCCUGGUCACCGGUGUACCCAAUGCUGAGAACCCCUUCAAGGAGAAGAGCCUGUGUAUCAUUUUAUAAAGACAUCCUUCUUGCCUUUUUCCUUUUCUAUGCCCGCUCUGCUUUCCCAUCUCUCUCUCUCUCUCUCUCUCUCUCUCUCUCUCUCUCUCUCUCUCUCUCUCUCUCUCUCUCUCUCAUAUUGUUCCUCUAGUGGAUUCUUCUUCAUAAUUUUCAUGUCUUCCUUGCACUGUGGUAGCUGAUAUAUUUGCCGCUGCUUAUUCAGUAUGUUUCAGCAUGUCAAGCUUCAGUCAAGGGCCACAAAAUUCCAAAAUUCAGUCAUGAUAUGGUGAAUCAUGAUAUUGUUCUUCAGCAACUUUCCUGAUGUACGUGUAACUAUAGCCCAUCUUGGCCAUGUAGAUUGAGCUUACAGCAUAGUUACUCAAGCUAUUUGCCAUCUAUCCUAAUGUUUGCAUGCAUCUAAUCCCCUCACGUUUUUACCGAGCACCACAGCUCUUUAUGUUGCGCUAACUAUUGGCCGCAUAAAAUGCCAGGUGUCUGCUUCUUAUCCCUCAUUGCUGAACUAUUGUAUACAGCUCAGCAUGUUUGUUAGGUCAUGAAUUUAUCACUGUUCAUUGGGAAACAUUCUUCGCAUAUCUCAUCUUCUUCUUCUUCACUCGUUCCGGUACUGAGUUUACCAUCUGCUUUGUGGAAACAGCCUAUUA